rnacentral:rRNA from 1 species
GGCGCAAGCCUGAUGCAGCCAUGCCGCGUGUAUGAAGAAGGCCUUCGGGUUGUAAAGUACUUUCAGCGGGGAGGAAGGUGUUGUGGUUAAUAACCACAGCAAUUGACGUUACCCGCAGAAGAAGCACCGGCUAACUCCGUGCCAGCAGCCGCGGUAAUACGGAGGGUGCAAGUGUUAAUCGGAAUUACUGGGCGUAAAGCGCACGCAGGCGGUCUGUCAAGUCGGAUGUGAAAUCCCCGGGCUCAACCUGGGAACUGCAUUCGAAACUGGCAGGCUUGAGUCUUGUAGAGGGGGGUAGAAUUCCAGGUGUAGCGGUGAAAUGCGUAGAGAUCUGGAGGAAUACCGGUGGCGAAGGCGGCCCCCUGGACAAAGACUGACGCUCAGGUGCGAAAGCGUGGGGAGCAAACAGGAUUAGAUACCCUGGUAGUCCACGCCGUAAACGAUGUCUACUUGGAGGUUGUGCCCUUGAGGCGUGGCUUCCGGAGCUAACGCGUUAAGUAGACCGCCUGGGGAGUACGGCCGCAAGGUUAAAACUCAAAUGAAUUGACGGGGGCCCGCACAAGCGGUGGAGCAUGUGGUUUAAUUCGAUGCAACGCGAAGAACCUUACCUGGUCUUGACAUCCACGGAAGUUUUCAGAGAUGAGAAUGUGCCUUCGGGAACCGUGAGACAGGUGCUGCAUGGCUGUCGUCAGCUCGUGUUGUGAAAUGUUGGGUUAAGUCCCGCAACGAGCGCAACCCUUAUCCUUUGUUGCCAGCGAUUAGGUCGGGAACUCAAAGGAGACUGCCAGUGAUAAACUGGAGGAAGGUGGGGAUGACGUCAAGUCAUCAUGGCCCUUACGACCAGGGCUACACACGUGCUACAAUGGCGCAUACAAAGAGAAGCGACCUCGCGAGAGCAAGCGGACCUCAUAAAGUGCGUCGUAGUCCGGAUUGGAGUCUGCAACUCGACUCCAUGAAGUCGGAAUCGCUAGUAAUCGUGGAUCAGAAUGCCACGGUGAAUACGUUCCCGGGCCUUGUACACACCGCCCGUCACACCAUGGGAGUGGGUUGCAAAAGAAGUAGGUAGCUUAACCUUCGGGAGGGCGCUUACCACUUUGUGAUUCAUGACUGGGGUGAAGUCGUAACAAGGUAACCGUAGGGGAACCUGCGGUUGGA